rnacentral:rRNA from 1 species
CAACCUGAAGUCAGAUGUGAUUACCCGCUGAACUUAAGCAUAUUAUUUAGCGGAGGAAAAGAAACUAACAAGGAUUCCCAAAGUAACGGCGAGUGAACUGGGAAAAGCCCAACGCUGAAUCUUUCGAUGUUAUAUCGUGAAGAAAUGUAGCGUAUAGGUAUGGUUGUCGGUUUGUUUAGCAUGUCCAAAGUUUCUUUGAUAGGGACCAUAUUCCGGAGAGGGUGCGAGACCUGUGCGGACAGUUGAACAUACCGUAUGAUUAUACCGUAGAGUCGGGUUGCUUGAAAGUGCAGCCUUAAGUGGGUGAUAAACUUCAUCUAAGGCUAAAUACGAACGCGAAUUCGAUAGCAAACAAGUACUGUGAAGGAAAGUUGCAAAGAACUUUGAAGAGAGAGUUCAAGAGAACGUGAAAUCGUUGAAGUGGAACCGGAGAGAAUUGACGUAGUCUGAUGGAUAAGUAUUGCAAGAAUCGUAUUCAUAUAUUUGAAUAUGAUCAAGUAGUAUGUAUACCAUCAACGACUGUGCUGACAGUAUCGGUUACACGAUCUGAACCGUGUUGACAUGUUGCCCGUUCUAUUCCAUAGUAUGGUGUCUUGUGUUACGUGGUAAGGUUUGUUGUUAGCUGAUAUUGUUUAAUGAUAAUUAUUUUUAAAUAGUUGCUAUGUCAGCAUAGAAGUCAACCACCUCUCCGACCCGUCUUGAAACACGGACCGAGGAGUGUAAUUUGUACGCGAGUGAAUAGGUGAAAAACCUUAAAGCGAAAUGAAAGUGAAGGCACGGUUAACCGGCUGACAUGGGAAACGUCCGUAUAAAUAUAUAUUUGGCGAGAUGUCACACCAUGGCCCUGUCUUGUCUGCAUGCAGAUGGGCAGCGGUAGAGCGUACAGGUUGCGACCCGAAAGAUGGUGAACUAUGCCUGAGCAGGACGAAGUCAGAGGAAACUCUGAUGGAAGUCCGUAUCGGUUCUGACGUGCAAAUCGAUCGAUAGACUUAGGUAUAGGGGCGAAAGACUAAUCGAACCAUCUAGUAGCUGGUUCCCUCCGAAGUUUCCCCCAGGAUAGCUGGAGUUCGUUGCGGUUAUAUCCGGUAAAGCGAAUGAUUAGAGGAAUUGGGGUCGAAACGACCUCAACCUAUUCUCAAACUUUCAAUGGGUAUGUUGUCUCGGUUUCUUUAUAUAAUACAUUUGUGAACUGCUGACACGAACGUGAACUCUAAGUGGGCCAUUUUUGGUAAGCAGAACUGGCGCUGUGGGAUGAACCAAACGUUGGGUUAAGGUGCCAAACUUUUCGCUCAUUAGAUCCCAUAAAAGGCGUUGGUUGAUAUAGACAGCAGGACGGUGGCCAUGGAAGUCGGUAUCCGCUAAGGAGUGUGUAACAACUCACCUGCCGAAUCAACUAGCCCUGAAAAUGGAUGGCGCUUGAGCGAAAGACCUAUACCCAACCGUUGCUGGCAUGUGUGCAUGUUGUUUACAAUAUAUAUGCGCCUGGUCGCAACGAGUAGGAGGGUCGUGGCGGUUGCGUUGAAGGCGUUAGGCGUAGGCCUAGCUGGAGCUUCCGUCAGUGCAGAUCUCGGUGGUAGUAGCAAAUAUUUAAGUUCGAUCCUUGAAGACUGAAGUGGAGAAGGGUUCCACGUGAACAGUAGUUGAAUGUGGGUCAGUCGAUCCUAAGAUACUGGCUUAUGCUAUGUAUCAUUAAGAGGGAAAAGUUCACUUUUCUCUUGGAUAUCAAAAGGGAAUAGGGUUAAUAUUCCCUAACGUAGACACAGAGAUUGUGAUUCGUAUGAGUCGCUUGCGCGGUAACGCAUUCGAACUUGAUUACAUCGCUCAGAGAUCGAGCUAGAGUUCUCUUCUCUAGUUAAGGAACGGACUCCCUGGAAUCGGUUCAGCCGUAGAUAGGGACGUUGUUUCCGUAAAGCAUCGCGGUUUCUGUGAUGUCUCGUGUUCUCUGGACGAUCCUUGAAAAAUCAAGGAAGGCUAUUAAUCUGUGCUACAUCGUACCGAUAUCCGCAUCAGGUCUCCAAGGUGAACAGCCUCUAGUCGAUAGAAUAAUGUAGGUAAGGGAAGUCGGCAAAUUAGAUCCGUAACUUCGGGAAAAGGAUUGGCUCCAGUGACCGGGUCGGUUGGCCUGUUAAUUGAUGCUUGUGCGGUUUUCGUCCGUGGCCGGCAGAUGUGCGUGUUUGAAGCGCGCUGACGCUGGACUAGUGAUAUGACCAACUUGUGGACAUUUACAGGUGUGUGCUUUGCCUUCGGGCUUAGUAUCCUGAUCGACCAUCAAAACGGUCGAACUGGAACUGGUACGGACUCGGGGAAUCCGACUGUCUAAUUAAAACAGAGGAGACAGAUGGUCCUUGUGGACGUUUACUGUCUCUGAUUUCUGCCCAGUGCUCUGAAUGUUAAAUCGUAGUAAUUCGAGUAAGCGCGGGUAAACGGCGGGAGUAACUAUGACUCUCUUAAGGUAGCCAAAUGCCUCGUCAGCUAACUACUGACGCGCAUGAAUGGAUUA